rnacentral:rRNA from 1 species
CACGUAGGCGGAUAUUUAAGUCAGGGGUGAAAUCCCAGAGCUCAACUCCGGAACUGCCUUUGAUACUGGGUAUCUUGAGUAUGGAAGAGGUAAGUGGAAUUCCGAGUGUAGAGGUGAAAUUCGUAGAUAUUCGGAGGAACACCAGUGGCGAAGGCGGCUUACUGGUCCAUUACUGACGCUGAGGUGCGAAAGCGUGGGGAGCAAACA